ensembl:rRNA 5S_rRNA 5S ribosomal RNA
CAUGCCAUACGAUCCUGAACACACCUGAUUUUACCUGGUCUCUGAUGCCUAGCAGGAACAGACCUGCCUUGGCCUUGGAUGGCAGACUUUGGGGAGUAGCAGAUGACGAAACUGA